GUGCUCACUUUGGCAGCACAUACACUAAAACUGGAAUGAUACAAAGAAGAUUAGCAUGGCCCUUGCACAGGGAUGACACACAAAUUCGUGAAGCAUUCCAUAUUUUU
rnacentral:snRNA from 1 species